ensembl:miRNA mdo-mir-302b mdo-mir-302b
CCCCUUCUACUUUAACAUGGAGGUACUUUCUGUGUUUAAAAAGGUAAGUGCUUCCAUGUUUUGGUAGGAGU